rnacentral:SRP_RNA from 1 species
GCCAGACGCGGUGGCGCGCGCCUGUAGUCCCAGCUACUCGGGAGGCUGAGGUGGGAGGAUCGCUUGAGUCCAGGAGUUCUGGGCUGCAGUGCGCUAUGCCGAUCGGGUGUCCGCACUAAGUUCGGCAUCAAUAUGGUGACCUCCCGGGAGCGGGGGACCACCAGGUUGCCUAAGGAGGGGUGAACCGGCCCAGGUCGGAAACGGAGCAGGUCAAAACUCCCGUGCUGAUCAGUAGUGGGAUCGCGCCUGUGAAUAGCCACUGCACUCCAGCCUGGGCAAUAUAGUGAGACCCUGUCUCU